GUAGGUCGGUCUGUCGCGUGUAUAGCAAUAUACAGGAGGAAAGUCCGGGCAACUCAGAGCAACCUACUUCCUAACAGAAAGCUGUCCGCGAGGGUAGAGUAACGUAGAAGAAAAUAACCGCCAUUAAUCCUUUGGAGAGAUGGUAAGGGUGAGAAGGUGGGGUAAGAGCCUACCAGCUGUGUGGCGACAUACAGGCUGUGCGUCUUAGGUGUUGUAAGGUCAUGUAUACCGGCGUUAAGAGAGCUGCUCGCUCCAUGUCGGAGGGUAGACCGCUAAAGUAAUAAGGUGACUUAUUGCUCAGAUAAAUGACAGGCAUCCAGUUUACUGGAAACAGAACCCGGCUUACAGACCUACUGC
rnacentral:RNase_P_RNA from 1 species